rnacentral:rRNA from 1 species
GGGAAUUCCUAGUGUAGCGGUGAAAUGCGUAGAUAUUAGGAAGAACACCAGUGGCGAAGGCGCUCUACUGGGCCAUAACUGACACUGAUGGACGAAAGCUAGGGGAGCGAAAGGGAUUAGAUACCCCUGUAGUCCUAGCUGUAAACGAUGGACACUAGGUGUUGGCCGUAUCGACCCGGUCAGUAUCGAAGCAAACGCGUUAAGUGUCCCGCCUGGGGAGUACGCACGCAAGUGUGAAACUCAAAGGAAUUGACGGGGGCCCGCACAAGCGGUGGAGUAUGUGGUUUAAUUCGAUGCAACGCAAAGAACCUUACCAGGGAUUGACAUCCUACGAAUCUUCUUGAAAGGGAAGAGUGCCUUCGGGACCGUAGAGACAGGUGGUGCAUGGCUGUCGUCAGCUCGUGUCGUGAGAUGUUGGGUUAAGUCCCGCAACGAGCGCAACCCUCGUCCUUAGUUGCCAUCAUUAAGUUGGGCACUUUAAGGAGACUGCCGGUGACAAACCGGAGGAAGGUGGGGAUGACGUCAAGUCAUCAUGCCCCUUACAUCCUGGGCUACACACGUACUACAAUGCAACGGACAAAGGGCAGCCAACUAGCGAUAGUGCGCAAAUCCCAUAAACCGUUGCUCAGUUCAGAUUGCAGGCUGCAACUCGCCUGCAUGAAGGCGGAAUCGCUAGUAAUCGCAGGUCAGCAUACUGCGGUGAAUACGUUCCCGGGCCUUGUACACACCGCCCGUCACACCAUGGAAGUUGGCCACGCCCGAAGUCGUUACCCCAACCGUUUACGGAGGGGGACGCCGAAGGCAGGGCUGAUGACUGGGGUGAAGUCGUAACAAGGUAACC